rnacentral:rRNA from 1 species
AUACUAGGUGUAGGGGUUGUCAUGACCUCUGUGCCGCCGCUAACGCAUUAAGUAUUCCGCCUGGGGAGUACGGUCGCAAGAUUAAAACUCAAAGGAAUUGACGGGGGCCCGCACAAGCAGCGGAGCAUGUGGUUUAAUUCGAAGCAACGCGAAGAACCUUACCUAGACUUGACAUCUCCUGAAUUACCCUUAAUCGGGGAAGCCCUUCGGGGCAGGAAGACAGGUGGUGCAUGGUUGUCGUCAGCCCGUGUCGUGAGAUGUUGGGUUAAGUCCCGCAACGAGCGCAACCCUUAUUGUUAGUUGCUACCAUUUAGUUGAGCACUCUAGCGAGACUGCCCGGGUUAACCGGGAGGAAGGUGGGGAUGACGUCAAAUCAUCAUGCCCCUUAUGUCUAGGGCUACACACGUGCUACAAUGGCUGGUACAGAGAGAUGCUAAACCGCGAGGUGGAGCCAAACUUUAAGACCAGUCUCAGUUCGGAUUGUAGGCUGAAACUCGCCUACAUGAAGCUGGAGUUGCUAGUAAUCGCGAAUCAGAAUGUCGCGGUGAAUACGUUCCCGGGCCUUGUACACACCGCCCGUCACACCAUGAGAGUUGGCAAUACCCAAAGUUCGUGAGCUAACGCGUAAGCGGGGCAGCGACCUAAGGUAGGGUCAGCGAUUGGGGUGAAGUCGUAACAAGGUAAC